UUAGAUAAACUUAACCAUACGUUUUCGAAUCAAUGAUAUGGCAACCCAGUUUAUUAAAAUAUAAUUUUUGGUUUUCUGGAUUACAUCAGAAUAUUGGCUUUUUAGUGUGGCAGUAAUCGGGAGAGAAUUGCACGAAAGACAAAACUUCUAUCGACUUGAGGCCAAAGAGCAAAAAUUUCGUUGUAGUGAAAAUAAAGUCUAAUGUUUAGAAAUCUAUUACAAGCAACCAAUUAGGCUUAUAAAAAUUCAUGAUUGUAAGAAAUUGCAAAUAAUUAUUAUUAAUAUUAUAAGUAUUUUUAAGUAUUUACAUUAUUUGAACUAUAGUAAAGUAUUCAAUAUUUUGUUGCGUUAUUUGCAAACAAACUAAUGUCAAGGUCUCAAUCAGUCUUUAAUUUUCCAUAAAAAUCACUUUCCAUCAUCCGUAACUGUUUCUUCCUGCGGCUUGAGCUUAUUCAACAGCUCCCAAUAGAGCGCCGAUUGCACCGUGGACUCCAGCACUCUGCGUUUUUGGCGCAGUAAAACGUUUCGAUUACCCUUCGCCUGCAGUGCGCGAUAAUUGUUUUCCAAGGUAGCGCCAUGACCAUCCGACAGUCGACGGAAGCGCUGCAUUUGGCUGGGCGUAAUUGUGAUGGGUUGCGUGAACACCACCCAAGUGACGGCCUGCGAGCAUGGUGGCGUUGUCAGCGAGCCAGCGUAGGUGUAAAAUUCAUCUACGUCCAUAUCGCCCAGUAAAACGGAGAGUUGAAAAUUGUCAAUUUCUGUGGAGCGAUUGAAUUCGGAAAUGGACUCCAAAACAUUUAUGACUUCAUUUAAGCCGACGAAAUCCUCGGUGACAUUGACCUGCAUAGAAACAUAUGCUUUAUGUUAUUUACUUUCAAGUUCCUGAAUUUUUAUUUAUUUUCUUUACAAACUUACAUUCACCGCGUACAGCACGGCCAGCACAGCCAAGCCGUCUUCGUGUUCGCGCGCCUCCACCACUGUCGCAUAUUUGGUAUUCCGAUGCAGCAGAUGCAUUUCCAUCGAGUAGCGUUCGCUGUCGAGCACAUGCUCGGAGCCAUGCGUGUCGAUGGAGCCCCAAUGAAAGUGCAAACUCUCCAUUAUGAAGGUUGUACCGUUCUGUAGCGGCCCGCCAACAAUGUAAGCGCUAUCGAGUCUCGCCGUGGGCAAUUGUAUAUUCGCUGUGUGUCCGUUAUUCUCACUUCUCACUGCUUUCAUAUAGGGUACAUCAUAGUGUAUGAAUUUCAACAGUGGCAAGUCAUACGAUAUAACGGCCUGUGUAUAAAUAAAAUAAAAUAAAAUAAAUAUACAAAUAUGUUAAUAAGUCUACAAAAAGGUUAAAUAUAAUUUAUGACAAGACGCUGUUUAUGCCACAUUUCGUUUGUCAUAAGUGCAUGACUUUCAGUUUAAGAUUCUCUAAAUUAAUUUUAUGGUGUUACUGUGUGAUACUUCUCCUGUUAUAAAUAUUUUUUCUGAAAUAAAAUUAUGAAUUUGUGCUUGCUAAGUUUUAUCAACUUUUUGUUAUGACUGACAUGCUGUAUAUUUUAACUGAAUGUUGUCUGUGGUUAAGAUUUUGUUAGUUCGUGAUAAAAAUCAUGAAUUUCGUGUCAUUAUCACAACGAUAUAUUCCUGGGCCCCUUAUGGAGGUUGGUAUUGCUGAUACUAAAAUGAAUACGACCAAACUUGCUGAGGACAAAUAUUUCCAACCCCUCCUUAUACCUACACUGCGAAAUUGGGUGAAGUUUGAUGAUAAGCUCGCCCACUCCCCAGAUAAGCGUUAUGUUGAAAACUACUAAAAGUGCGAUAAUUCGCUAAAUAAAUACGUUUCGCACCCGACAACAAAUAUGGUAAUAAAAAUAUUAAAGUUGAGAAUGUACAAAAUGUACGGUUAAACCCAUCACUUAUACUACUUUACUAAUAUAUUUUUUAGAUAUAUACCUUUGACAUAAAAAUACGUGCUAAAUGGUGUUUUGAAUGCACGGAGAGAAUACACUGAGAGAAUAUUUUACACACAAGAACAAACGCUGAACUAUGAAUGACAACCCCAAAUCACUACUUAGAGCAUUUUAUACCACCCAUUAGUGUUCAACCAACUGCACAUUUUACCAACUCAUUGUCUGGACAUUUUUUAUCAAAAUAUCAAUGCAGAUAUCAGCAGCGUUAUUACAAAAUCCGCGCAAUCAAAGGUGUGUAGUGUGUUACGGUAUCUAAGGUAACCGUAAUAAUAAUAAAAUCAUAAAACGUAUCCAAAUAUCCACAAAAAAAGGUAAACACAUAAAUGAAGUGUGCUAUUCAACCAGGUGAUAAAAUAAACGUAGACAUUUUAUGAUAAACACAAACCCAUGACU